CCUACGGGGGGCUGCAGUGGGGAAUAUUGGACAAUGGGGGCAACCCUGAUCCAGCCAUGCCGCGUGUGUGAAGAAGGCCCUCGGGUUGUAAAGCACUUUCAGUGAGGAAGAACGCCUGGUGGUUAAUACCCAUCAGGAAAGACAUCACUCACAGAAGAAGCACCGGCUAACUCCGUGCCAGCAGCCGCGGUAAUACGGAGGGUGCGAGCGUUAAUCGGAAUUACUGGGCGUAAAGCGCGCGUAGGUGGCUUGAUAAGCCGGUUGUGAAAGCCCCGGGCUCAACCUGGGAACGGCAUCCGGAACUGUCGAGCUAGAGUGCGGGAGAGGAAGGUAGAAUUCCCGGUGUAGCGGUGAAAUGCGUAGAGAUCGGGAGGAAUACCAGUGGCGAAGGCGGCCUUCUGGACUGACACUGACACUGAGGUGCGAAAGCGUGGGUAGCAAACAGGAUUAGAUACCCCAGUAGUC
rnacentral:rRNA from 1 species